UGGAGGGGAAGCUUCUUUUCAACCCGCUCCGCUGUGUUAAUCGAGGGAUUGUCGCAUCUCCUUCAAAGUUGCAAUUCUAUUGCUAAAGAAACAAAGCGGUCAUCAUUUGUGACGGCGAGCUGACACUUGACUCCUACCGUUCAUGCUUUGAUUCAAACAACCAUAAGUUCCGAACCACAUCGUGUCCUCGAAGUUAUAGGAAAUUUGAUUACAACUUCCCAUAUCCUCUCACAAAUACCCCAUAGAGGCGGGUACAUUUAGCGCGCGCUUUGGAAUAUUCGUCGGCAUCUGGAUUCAUUCGCACGCGAUUAGUGAACAGUAUCGCUUUAUCCGUCGAGGGCAUCGAGCGUAGUUGAUGGGGGAGAAGGAGAAGAAUCCUGACCGAUUGCAGGGCACGGUAGCUGGCAAUUAGGAAGAAGGAUUCUCAUAUCGGCUGUCGGUGUGCUGUCUGCCGCGUCCCGUGCUAUCUUCAAUGUCAGGCUUGCGACCUGGUGGCCCCUGCACGUUGAAAAAUGGUGGGGAGCAUGCGUUAUUGUUUCUCGUUGCUCUCUUUGGACGGAUGAUCAUAAAUGGUGGAAUGCGAUGCGCACGGAUGGGGAAGUGCGGCUUGCCAAAUUGGAUGGAUUAAAAGCCGAAGUCACAACGCCGCAUCCCACGCAUGAGGGCUAUUGAACUC
rnacentral:sRNA from 1 species